rnacentral:siRNA from 1 species
UGAUUUUCUUCUCAAGCAUAU